rnacentral:misc_RNA from 1 species
GAUAAGAACGUAGCGAAAUGCGAUACGUAAUGUGAAUUGCAGAAUUCAGUGAAUCAUCGAGUCUUUGAACGCACAUUGCGCCCCCUGGUAUUCCGGGGGGCAUGCCUGUCCGAGCGUCAUUGCUGCCCUCAAGCACGGCUUGUGUGUUGGGCCUCCGUCCUCCUCCCGGGGGACGGGCCCGAAAGGCAGCGGCGGCACCGCGUCCGGUCCUCGAGCGUAUGGGGCUUCGUCACCCGCUCUUGUAGGCCCGGCCGGCGCUUGCCGACACAUCAAUCUUUUUUCCAGGUUGACCUCGGAUCAGGUAGGGAUACCCGCUGAACUUAAGCAUAUCAUAAGCGGAGGA